GUUGCCCAAAGCUCAUCUGAGUUCACUGGGUCAAAUUCCAAAGAGUGCAAGAGAGUCGAUUUUCAAUGCUGCGUGGGCAGUGUGCCAUUGCCAGGCCCUUCUUGCUACCAUUUGUAAAUCACACCACUAUUUAUCUUGUAAGCUUUUUGGAAGGAAAUCGACACUUAACACACCACUGUUAAAGGACCUACUGAUUCCUGAUCUGGAAAUGCAAAAUCUGGAUUUCUUCUAUGGCUCAAGUCUUGGGCUUCGCCCUCUGGGGGCAGAAACCAGGAAGAGGUUAGCCCUGAAAGGCAUCCAGUGCCAGCAUCAUGGGCUGCAGGAACAUUUGUCUGGAGGAGGUCCUUGGUUCAAGCCAGAGGGGUCAGCCAUCGGACGAACUUGAGACGAGAUUAAUUGUAAACUGGGAAUUGAUGUGUUGGAGGAGAAAAACAGGAGACAGAGCAUGCCAAAGCUGAAGAGACAAAAGAUGCCCUUCUCUGGCUGGGGGAGGUGGACCCAGGCUGUCUGGAGGCCUCUAGGAAGCUAGGAGGGCAAACUCCAUCUCUGCCACCAGCAUGCUCUGGACCGUCCCAGGAGGGCCAAGGGCUGCAAACCUGAGGUCCCCCCUGGGCUGGGGAACUCCUCUGACCUGCCCACCAGACCUGGAGACUAAGGCAGGCUCUUGACCAGACAGCACUGCCUGGGAAGCUGCAUAUAUUCCCAUCUGGGCUACUUCCUCUUCCAUAUGAACUGGAUGACCAGAUGAGGAAACAGAAGUCCUGUGAGAUCGAUCCAUCGGCCUGCGGCAUCUGAGCCAGAGCUGAGCCUAAAAGUGAGGUUUUGCCUUUUCCUCUGGGAUUCAUGCACACAACUACGCUGUUGCCAUGGUUCUGAAGCUAGCACAUCAGACUGAUUGGAGGUGCUUAUGGAUGGAUGAAUGCACUGCAUCAAACAAUAGCUCUCUCGAUGAAAAGAAAACCUGGCCGAUAAUUGAAACCUCUGAACCACAAGCAGAAAAAGAAAUAGAAGGCUCUGCAGGCUGCCACCCAGCCUGAGGGCAGAUGGGAGCAGGGGAUGUGGAGAGUGGGUGGAUGGAGACUUGGGUGAGGCUCUGGCUCCGCUGUGUCCCAGAGGGAUCAUGUGGGAAGCCCUUUGGUUACGUGACACUGUUGUAGGCACCCUGUGGAUUUUACAUCACCCAAAGCUAUAAAUGGUUUUGCAUUAAAAAAAAAAAAAAAGAAUUACAGGUCUCCCACAGCCCACAAAAAUAUGCUCCACCCGAAGAGAAGCCCAUAAUUUGGCUGCAUCCAGCUGGGUUAAACAAAAUCGGAGCCAAGGUUGCCCUGUAUUGUCCUGAGAGGUGGCCUAGCAUUAGCAGGAAUGAAAGAAAUGUAAAAUUACUCACAAUGGGGUAGAUUUUCUCCAUAGGGAAAGCUCUAAUAGUUACACAGCAAGACUUUGGCAUCGGCCAGGUAAGGUCUACUAGCUGCCUGAAAAGCACCGCCAAGCUAUUAUUUAUCAUUUUAUAGCAUUUCACAUUUGCAAAUUGCCUAGCAAUGAAUUGAGGCAAUUUCUCAUCACAAUUCUGAGUGGGAAGUUGCAGAUUUUAACCCUUCUUUUACUAAGACACAAAGAUAUUGAGACAAAUAAUAGGCAUCAACCAAAAAAAUGUCUGGGUUGUCUCUUUAUUUUGGCCAUGCCUGUGAUCUGUGACCUGGCCUGCUUUAAGGUGACCAAAUGAUCCAGUUUGCCUGGGAUGGAGGGGUUUCCUGGAUGUGGGGAUCCUGGGUGCUAAUAGCUGGGACAGUCCCUGGCAAACCAAAACAGUUGGUCACUCUAUACACCGAAUGGUGUUGCCUAUGCUUUGUGCUAAUUCCUGGCCAUUUCUGUCUGCAUAUCUUAAAUGAAUAUGGCUCUAUUUUUUUCAUCCUAAUCUGUUUUACCUUGCUAUGUUUCAGAAGGCAGAGCCUGAAACUGAAUUUUUGUUGCUUCUCAUGUUAGAAUCCUUUACAAUAGUAUUUACUAGUUAACUGUUGGGUGUUGCUCCAUUUGGGAAUUUCAAAUGCCUACCACUAAGCUCUGAAAUGUUUUUGGUAUUAGGUGUCCAAAAUGUGGCUUAAAGCAAUAUACAAGUAAGAGAAGAGGAUUUUAUUUUUCUAUUAAGUAAUCCCACUCGGACACCAUUCUCUGUCUCCCUAGACACAAAGGUCACACUUUCUAUCUGGGUUAUUUUCUUUGACAGGAGAACAUUUAAACUUAUAAAAUUCAGAUAGCCACCAGGAUAGAUAUAAAGAAACAAUUUACCUCUGGCUAAGAAACCCUUGAGUCAAAAUCAGUCCCAACUAACAUCACAGACUAUUUUACCACCAGCCAAGAGGAUAAGAAAGAGCCAUACAUGCCAACAUUUUUAUUAGUAGGAUGUCAUAAAUUGGAUAAAGCUUUCAUUAGCAUUACAAGAUUAAAACUCCAGAAAGGCCUAAGUAAGGCAAUAGAAGUUCUGUUCUGGCUGGGCCUAGUGAUGUCAGGCCUUGGGAGACAAGGCACUGGCCCCCUGGGUCCCAAACACUGAAGGUUACAGUGACAACUGCAGAUUGGCCUUUAUCUGUAGAAUUCUGUCACUGGUACAUUCCACUGUCCCUUGGUGGACCACAGCAUGACCUCUCUAAAGAGAAGAGGGAAGCAGGAGUUCCCAUUGUGGCGCAGUGGUUAAUGAA